AGGAUAUGAUAUGAGUUGGGGCCUGAAAAAUAUCUACUCUUUAUAACACACCUAGCAAGAACUGGAGUCACUAUGAAGAAGGUAUAACAUGAAUGGCCUUUUUAUAAGCAAGUGCCCUACAUGU
rfam:Dipodomys ordii contig_11751, whole genome shotgun sequence.